rnacentral:snRNA from 1 species
UAUCUCUGGUUUCUCUUCAAAACGCAUAAAUCUUUCGCCUUUUACUAAAGAUUUCCGUGGAGGGGAACACUCAAAUGAGUCUUUAAAAUUUUUGAAAAGUCCUACUUCGGUGGGACA